rnacentral:rRNA from 1 species
AGUGCGUACUAGGUUCUUCGGCUUUUCUUCGGUUUUCUUGUUGUGGCCUUUAUUGGUGGCGGCAAGUGGGUGACAUUUUUACUUUUAACAAAUCAGAGUGCUCAAAACAGGCGUUUCUCUUGUAUGUUUUUUUAUGGAAAAAUAUAAAAUGACUUCGGUCUAUUUUUAUUGGUUUUUUUGAUCGUUGUAAUGAUUAAAAAAGACAAACGGGGGCAUUCUUAUUGUUGCGUGAGAGGUGAAAUUCUUGGACCCCACCACGACAACCUACAGCGAAAACAUUUGCCAAGCUUGUCUUCUUUAAUCAAGAACAAAAGUCAGAGGAUCGAAGGUGAUCAGACACCGCCCUAGUUCUGACCGUAAACGACGCCAACUAGCGAUUCGCCGGUGGAAUAUUUCCCCUGGAGAGGAGCUUCCCGGAAACGAAAGUCUUCCGGUUCCGGGGGAAGUAUGGUUGCAAAGCUGAAACUUAAAGGAAUUGGGGGAAGGGCCCCCCCAGGAGUGGAGCCUGCGGUUUAAUUUGACUCCACACGGGAAAACUCCCCCGCCCCGGACACUAUAAGGAUUGACAGAUAGAUAGCUCUUUCAUGAUUUGGUGGAUGGUGGUGCAUGGCCGUUCUUAGUUCGUGGAGUGAUUUGUCUGGUUUAUUCCGAUAACGAGCGAGACUCCAGCCUACUAAAUAGUUCCCUCAUUGUUUAUUGUGUAGCGGUACUUCCUAGAGGAAUGUUCGG